rnacentral:rRNA from 1 species
AGAUUGAACGCUAGCGGGAUACUUUACACAUGCAAGUCGAACGGCAGCGCGGACUUCGGUCUGGCGGCGAGUGGCGAACGGGUGAGUAAUAUAUCGGAACGUGCCCAGUAGCGGGGGAUAACUACGCGAAAGCGUGGCUAAUACCGCAUACGCCCUACGGGGGAAAGGGGGGGAUCGCAAGACCUCUCACUAUUGGAGCGGCCGAUAUCAGAUUAGCUAGUUGGUGAGGUAAAGGCUACACCAAGGCGACGAUCUGUAGCUGGUUUGAGAGGACGACCAGCCACACUGGGACUGAGACACGGCCCAGACUCCGUACGGGAGGCAGCA